rnacentral:rRNA from 1 species
UACAGAGGGUGCGAGCGUUGUUCGGAAUUAUUGGGCGUAAAGGGCGCGUAGGCGGUGCGGUAAGUCACCUGUGAAAUCUCCUGGCUCAACUGGGAGCUUGCAGGCGAAACUGCCGUGCUGGAGUGUGGGAGAGGUGCGUGGAAUUCCUGGUGUAGCGGUGAAAUGCGUAGAUAUCAGGAGGAACACCGAUGGCGAAGGCAGGUCACUGGGCCGCAACUGACGCUGAGGAGCGAAAGCUGGGGAGCGAACAGG